UGCGCAGGCGGGCUUGUAAGUCAGUGGUGAAAUCUUGCCGCUUAACGGUAAAAUUGCCAUUGAUACUGCAAGUCUUGAAUAUGGUUGAGGUAGGCGGAAUGUGUCGUGUAGCGGUGAAAUGCAUAGAUAUGACACAGAACACCAAUUGCGAAGGCAGCUUACUAAGCCAUUAUUGACGCUGGGGCACGAAAGCGUGGGGAGCGAACAGGAUUAGAUACCCUGGUAGUCC
rnacentral:rRNA from 1 species